GUACUCGCUUUGGCAGCACAUAUAUUAAAAUUGGAAAGAUACAGAGCAGAUCAGAAUGGCCCCUGCACAAGGGUGACAUGCAAAUUCAUGAAGCAUUCCAUAUUUUU
rnacentral:snRNA from 1 species